UACGUAGGGUGCGAGCGUUAAUCGGAAUUACUGGGCGUAAAGCGUGCGCAGGCGGUUUUGUAAGCCAGAUGUGAAAUCCCCGGGCUUAACCUGGGAAUGGCAUUUGGGACUGCAAAGCUUGAGUGCGGCAGAGGGGACUGGAAUUCCUGGUGUAGCAGUGAAAUGCGUAGAGAUCAGGAGGAAUACCGAUGGCGAAGGCAGGUCCCUGGGCUGACACUCGACGCUCAUGC
rnacentral:rRNA from 1 species